AACAGGAUUAGAUACCCUGGUAGUCCACGCCGUAAACGAUGUCGACUUGGAGGUUGUGCCCUUGAGGCGUGGCUUCCGGAGCUAACGCGUUAAGUCGACCGCCUGGGGAGUACGGCCGCAAGGUUAAAACUCAAAUGAAUUGACGGGGGCCCGCACAAGCGGUGGAGCAUGUGGUUUAAUUCGAUGCAACGCGAAGAACCUUACCUACUCUUGACAUCCAGAGAACUUAGCAGAGAUGCUUUGGUGCCUUCGGGAACUCUGAGACAGGUGCUGCAUGGCUGUCGUCAGCUCGUGUUGUGAAAUGUUGGGUUAAGUCCCGCAACGAGCGCAACCCUUAUCCUUUGUUGCCAGCGAUUCGGUCGGGAACUCAAAGGAGACUGCCAGUGAUAAACUGGAGGAAGGUGGGGAUGACGUCAAGUCAUCAUGGCCCUUACGAGUAGGGCUACACACGUGCUACAAUGGCAUAUACAAAGAGAAGCGACCUCGCGAGAGCAAGCGGACCUCAUAAAGUAUGUCGUAGUCCGGAUUGGAGUCUGCAACUCGACUCCAUGAAGUCGGAAUCGCUAGUAAUCGUGGAUCAGAAUGCCACGGUGAAUACGUUCCCGGGCCUUGUACACACCGCCCGUCACACCAUGGGAGUGGGUUGCAAAAGAAGUAGGUAGCUUAACCUUCGGAGGGCGCUUACCACUUUGUGAUUCAUGACUGGGGUGAAGUCGUAACAAGGUAACC
rnacentral:rRNA from 1 species